CCUACGGGGGGCAGCAGUGAGGAAUAUUGGUCAAUGGACGCAAGUCUGAACCAGCCAUGCCGCGUGCAGGAAGACGGCCCUAUGAGUUGUAAACUGCUUUUGUACGAGGGUAAACGCAGAUACGCGUAUCUGUCUGAAAGUAUCGUACGAAUAAGGAUCGGCUAACUCCGUGCCAGCAGCCGCGGUAAUACGGAGGAUUCAAGCGUUAUCCGGAUUUAUUGGGUUUAAAGGGUGCGUAGGCGGUCGGAUAAGUUAGAGGUGAAAUCCCGAGGCUCAACUUCGGAAUUGCCUAUGAUACUGUUCGUCUAGAGAGUAGUUGCGGUAGGCGGAAUGUAUGGUGUAGCGGUGAAAUGCUUAGAGAUCAUACAGAACACCGAUUGCGAAGGCAGCUUACCAAGCUACUACUGACGUUGAGGCACGAAAGCGUGGGGAGCAAACAGGAUUAGAUACCCCAGUAGUC
rnacentral:rRNA from 1 species